CACGUAGGGCGCAAGCGUUGUCCGGAAUUAUUGGGCGUAAAGAGCUCGUAGGCGGUCUGUUGCGUCCGCUGUGAAAACUCGGGGCUUAACCCCGAGCCUGCAGUGGAUACGGGCAGACUAGAGGUAGGUAGGGGAGAGCGGAACUCCUGGUGUAGCGGUGGAAUGCGCAGAUAUCAGGAAGAACACCGGUGGCGAAGGCGGCUCUCUGGGCCUUACCUGACGCUGAGACACGAAAGCGUGGGUAGCAAACAGG
rnacentral:rRNA from 1 species